rnacentral:lncRNA from 1 species
UUGCUUUUAUUAGAGUCUAAUGCAACCAUGAGGUCUAUCAGGGAAGAGCUGCGUAGAGCUGUAUCCAUUCCCCAUCCCAUGACCCUGAGCACAGCUGAACAGUUCUACUGAAAGACACAGUACACCCUGCUUAUGCAGCAAAUUGUGAGGCCAGCACUUGACUUGGCUAGAAGAAAGAGAUCACUUCAUCACUGACACAUACUCUGCACAAGCAGACACAAAGAAUAAUUUAAAAUAGCUUUCCUUUAUGAAAAUGAAGAUCUGCUGGGACACACAGCUAGGAAAAGUUGCAUAAAUAUGGUCUCUACCAGUACAGGGGAAAAAUGUGACCAUCACCCAGUAUUCAUAAAUGAAAUAAACCGUGAUUACGAUACUUUUCUUGGAAGAUACCCUCAGUAUCUUUCACUGCAUUUUCUUUCUGAACAUUUCUUAAUUGGGGAAGUGAACACAAGAGUAUAGCCAAAGAUACUGUCUGCAAUUAUUUUAAUAGCAUUAUAGAACAACAAAUCCACACUUUAGAACUUGAUUAAUCAAUAUGUUUCUUGACCCAAAGAGAAACCCAGACUUAAAUAAAACAAAAUCUUUGACAGGAGCAAGUUUGAAAGUAGAACACAUUACAUCUUUCAGAUUGUUAUUAGUUGUUUCAGUAAACGAAAAAAAAAUAUUGGAAGCUAAUAUUUUGGUCAUAAAAUAAGAAGUAUUUCUUCAAAACAAUUACAGCAAAUAUUCCCUGAGAAUUAAGAAUCAGCAACAACUAUUGCCAAAUUGUUAUUUCAGUUACAGUGCAGAAAUGUUAUAGCACAUUCUCACCAUUCAAAGAUCACACAGGAAGAUUAAAGGCCACAGUUUUUAUUUACUAUGUGCAUCUUCUGGAUGUGCUCAUCUUUCAAGAGAAUUAAAUAUGGAUACAGCAACCCUCAGAAUUCCUAAUUUUUCCCCCUGCACUAGGUUUUCUAAAUUUUCUUUUCCAACUGAUAGGUUAUGGCAACAUUCUGGAAUAACCCACUCUCUCUGUCCCCCCAGAAACAUGCAUAUAAAAUACACACCUGCCACCAAAAUGCUCCACUCAGACAAGCAACUUGUAAUCAAAGCAGAAAAGGGAGAUGAAACAGAAGAGUGGAAGAACUAUUGAAGUUGAAAUAAUCAAUUUUAAUGCCUAAAAUUAGAUUUUAUGGCCCAUGGUACUGCUGAAAGCUGCAUGCAGCACAGCUUUAUUUUGCAUUAUUCCUCAGCACACAGAAUUAAAGUGCAGUAAACAUUUGGGAUUUGGUACAGCACACUGUCAUGAAAAAAAAAAAAGAUAAAAUCUAUUUUUUGUUAUUAAUUGACCUCAAAAAUAUGUCAGUCUGGGGGCAGUUUGCAUUUGACCAAGAAAAAUACAAGAUCCAAUUGGGAUCCAAAUUAUCAAGUUGUAAAAGAAACUUUCUUCCUGUCCAGUCCUAUAUACCACAUCAACAUAUGCAUGUCUCCCUCUGGCUACCUGUUAGUUUCCUGGCUCUUUCUCCAAGAUAGAACAAUCACUCUUUCCUUCUAGCGUGCUGGUCUUAGCUCAGUUGAAUUCUUUCCUUCAUUACUUCAAAGCAUCCUGCAGAUCUGGCAGUGUCUGCUAUUGGUUGAUCUGUGAGUGCUGCAACCCAGGAGAGUAGAGCAUUUACUAACAGCACACUAUGAAAACCUGACCAGAGAUCUGCAAAGACCCAACCUGCAAAGAGUAUUUUGAUGGUAGUGGUAGUUGAGAUGGGCUAACAGCAGAAAGGACACAGUUUGAAAAAGGUAAAAAAAUGCCUAGCAGAAGACCAAGAGAGAUGGCUAACAUAUACCAAUGAGUGCUGUAGUGCUAUCACAGUUUGAUCCUAAAACACUAUUCAGAGGUGUUUGGAGAAAACAGAACAUCUGAAGAUCUCUACCUGUCCCAGAAAACUUAGAUGGAAGUAGCAGCAUGUGGGCUGAGGGGUCAAACUGGGAAUGCAAAGUAUUCAACAUACCUAGAACAUGUUGUGUAUAUUGUAGUGAAUACAUUGGCCAUGUUGGAUCUGCUAUGCAAUUAAUAUUGCAUAGC